rnacentral:rRNA from 1 species
UGGAUCCAGACUUUGAUCAUGGCUCAGGAUGAACGCUGGCGGCGUGCCUAAUACAUGCAAGUCGAACGAAACUUCUUUAUCACCGAGUGCUUGCACUCACCGAUAAAGAGUUGAGUGGCGAACGGGUGAGUAACACGUGGGCAACCUGCCCAAAGGAGGGGGAUAACACUUGGAAACAGGUGCUAAUACCGCAUAACCAUAGUUACCGCAUGGUAACUAUGUAAAAGGUGGCUAUGCUACCGCUUUUGGAUGGGCCCGCGGCGCAUUAGCUAGUUGGUGGGGUAAAGGCUUACCAAGGCAAUGAUGCGUAGCCGAACUGAGAGGUUGAUCGGCCACAUUGGGACUGAGACACGGCCCAAACUCCUACGGGAGGCAGCAGUAGGGAAUCUUCCACGAUGGGCGAAAGCCUGCUGGAGCAACGCCGCGUGGGUGAAGAAGGUCUUCGGAUCGUAAAACCCUGUUGUUAGAGAAGAAAGUGCGUGAGAGUAACUGUUCACGUUUCGACGGUAUCUAACCAGAAAGCCACGGCUAACUACGUGCCAGCAGCCGCGGUAACACGUAGGUGGCAAGCGUUAUCCGGAUUUAUUGGGCGUAAAGGGAACGCAGGCGGUCUUUUAAGUCUGAUGUGAAAGCCUUCGGCUUAACCGGAGUAGUGCAUUGGAAACUGGGAGACUUGAGUGCAGAAGAGGAGAGUGGAACUCCAUGUGUAGCGGUGAAAUGUGUAGAUAUAUGGAAGAACACCAGUGGCGAAAGCGGCUCUCUGGUCUGUAACUGACGCUGAGGUUCGAAAGCGUGGGUAGCAAACAGGAUUAGAUACCCUGGUAGUCCACGCCGUAAACGAUGAAUGCUAAGUGUUGGAGGGUUUCCGCCCUUCAGUGCUGCAGCUAACGCAAUAAGCAUUCCGCCUGGGGAGUACGACCGCAAGGUUGCAACUCAAAGGAAUUGACGGA